rnacentral:rRNA from 1 species
AUUGAACGCUGGCGGAAUGCUUUACACAUGCAAGUCGAGCGGCAGCGCGGGGGCAACCCUGGCGGCGAGCGGCGAACGGGUGAGUAACAUAUCGGAACGUACCCAGUCGUGGGGGAUAACUAUCCGAAAGGAUAGCUAAUACCGCAUACGACCUGAGGGUGAAAGCGGGGGACCGUAAGGCCUCGCGCGAUUGGAGCGGCCGAUAUCGGAUUAGCUAGUUGGUGAGGUAAAGGCUCACCAAGGCGACGAUCCGUAGCUGGUCUGAGAGGACGACCAGCCACACUGGAACUGAGACACGGUCCAGACUCCUACGGGAGGCAGCAGUGGGGAAUUUUGGACAAUGGGGGCGAACCCUGAUCCAGCCAUUCCGCGUGAGUGAAGAAGG